ensembl:lncRNA
GGAGGGAGAGGAGGAGGAGGGAGCGCGGGCCGAGGCGGUGGCUCCCGCGGCGUGCUGAAGCCAGGUGCGGGAGGCGAGCCCGUCACCACGGCGCGCGGCUCCGAGAGUGGGGUGCCAGCAGAGCCCCUGCAGCCCCAGCGUGGGACCUGUCACGCCGACUUAGGGGGCUGCAGGGCGAUCACUGGGGGCGACGCGGAGAUGUGGACAGCGAGCGCGCUUAAGUGCACUCCGCGCUGCCGUUGGGCCGGACGAAAAGAUGGGCUCCUGCCCGAGGACGCGGUGACCCUUUCAAAACAGAGGCCCGGAAUCGGGACGAGCCCAGCUCCACCCCCACCAGCGCCUUCUGGGCUGGGGUGCGGGGCUCUCCGGAGCUAAAGUGUGCGGUUUGGGUGACUUACCAGAUGCAGCAAGGAACAACUGUCACGCUGGAUUAAGCUCUGCGACACCUAAGAAACCUCCACUGCAGUUUUCUGAAGGAGUAGCAGUGUGUUUAAGAUCAACGGAUUAAUUUAAUUAAAGGUUUAAAUUUAGCCCUGGAGCUAAUGGGUAACUCUCCAUCGAAAUUCCACUCCGUUUCAAGUUCAGGAAAGUUAAGUAGUGGAGAGCAAAUACACGCUGUCCGGAGACGCGCAGCCAACCGGAGGAAGAGAUAGGGUGGGUUUCAAGUUACGUGUGCUCAGGACAAACUCUCGGCCUGGCCCUCUGCGCAAACAAUUAUUCCUAUUUUAUUUUUGUGCCUUCCCUCUGCAGCCUCACAGCAGCAGCUAAGUCAAAGCUUGGCACCCAAGUCGGGGAAAUUUCAUCAGGAUUUUAAUUACUUUGACUACCUUGAAACUUCCAAUUCACUCUCUUACAAGUGAUUUAAUUUACAUGGCCACUGGCCUGGCUGUGGGUCAGGGAGCGUUAAGUGGAAGAGUCCCAGUCCACUCCUCUAAAAGAAAGACUUUUAUUACGCGUGGUAUGUUAAUUACAAAAAUGAUACAUUUUAAGAAAAGCAGAGAGCAAAAGCAUCGCUAACGAUUUCCUAUGGAAAUGCCUUAAUAUUUUGAUUUCUGUCUUGCCAGUUUGUGUUUGUUUUAGUACUGGGCCUGGAACGCCGGCCUUUGCGCUAAGCUACAGCCCCAUCCCUCUUUUUUAUUUCUUAUUUUGAGACCUCACUAAGUGGCUAAGUUACCCAAGGCUGGGCUCGAACUUGCAAUCCUCCUGCCUCAGCCUCCCAGAUGUCUUGUGUUUUUUUUAAAUCAAUGCCAUGUCAUGUAAGGCUUUCCAUCCAGAAAGAUUUUUUUUUCCAGUUGGCUUCCUUAUAUUUGCUGGGUGUUAAUUUUUUUUCAUCAAAAUCCAUUUAUUUGCCUACUUGGUAUAACUCUCCCUAUUUUAAGUGCCAAGUAUAGUAGUUCAUUCCAAACAUUUAUUGAAGCAUCAAAUUGGAAUCAAUGUCUAUUAAACUCCAUGCUUCUGCCAAUUUAUGGGGGAUCAUGAGAAUUAAGAUUUAUUAUUCACCUACUGUGUACCAGCCAGAGAGUAUUGCUAAUCCUUCUGACCACCCUAUGGUGAUGAUGGUGAGGGCAUUAUCAUUAAUAUUUCAAAGACAAGGUUCAGAAAAUUUGAAUACUUCUCCCAGGUCACCUAGCUCAUUGUGGCUGCGCCAGCGUGUAGACGGCCUUGACUGAGACUCAUGCGUGUUCUUGCGCCCUCUGCUGGUGAGGAUGUUUUACAGGAAGGAGCAGUGUCCAGCUAUCCUGCGUUUAUCCCUGAGUCAAUUGUAGUGGAAAUAAAUAAAGCUUUGGAGAGAGGAUCUGGGUUUGAACAGCCAGUCCUUUAACCUCUCUGAGCCCAUUUCUUCUGUGGGUUACUGAGAGGUACAGAUAUGGCUGCAUGUGGAGUGUUUUAUAAACCUUUAAGUAUUUUUAAAAUGACAGUUUUUAUGCCAUUCUAAUCUAUUUAGUUCCCAAAUAAUUCUAAAUUCAUUUAUUUUCUGCUAUUAAUUGGUUGAGCAAGUGUUAUUGAGCAACUUCUACAUGUACAGUGCCAUCUUGCGACAAAGAGAUAAUAAGGUGUGACCCUUAACCCUUGUAUGCUUGCUAGUUAAAAUAGAAAAGAAGCGCAGGACACGUUUAGAGAAGAGUACAGUGCUUGCUCUGAUUACGUGUCAGAUAAGCAGUAUGCUAUCAGAAUGUGGGAAAAGAGCUCUUAAUUUGAAGUGAGCCUGUGGGGCAGGUGUUAGGCAAGAGCCAGGAUUUGAGCUGACCUGGGAGGUAAAGGAAGCCGGGAGAAGGAGGUGCGCUGAAGAGGAAGUUGCUAGUUUUGAUCUUCAGUGUCCCCGGGGCCCAUGUAACAGAGGCUUGCUCCUAGGGAGGCCCUGUUGGGAGGUGGUGGAGCCUCUUGGACAGUGAUGGUGAACCUUUUAGAACUUUCAAUGAUAACAAACAGCCUGUUGCAGCACAUGUGCCAUAGUUUGCCACCACUGCUCCAGGAGGUGGUCCCUGGGUGGAGGAAGUUAGGUCAGUGGGGCUGCCCCUGAAGGAAUCUUUGGGACCCCAGUCCUCUCCUUUCUUUGUGCUUUCCGGGUCAUGAGGUAAGUGGUUUUGCUGUACCUCAGGCUCCUACUCACAUGUGUCAGACUCCACACUGUGGGCUCGUUGCCACAAGCUCAAAAGCAACGGGACCAAUUGAUCAUGGACCGACACCUCCAAAACCAUGAGCCUAAAUAAACCCUUUCUCUUUAUAAGCUGAUUAUCCCAGGAAUUUGUUACAAGGACAGAAAACUGAUUAACGCAUAUUGCACCGACACCUUUAUGCAUUGCAGGCACAGAGGACUAACACCUGAAAUGUAAUUCCUCUUGGUCUGCAAAGGCACCCCACUCCCACCUUCUUUUUUAAUUUUUAUUUUUAUUAGUACCUGUUUGCAGUACGUAAUGAUCCCAUUCCUUGUGUGGAGUUGAUACAUGCACAUAACACAUCUCAAUUCGGUUUUCAACCCUUUUCCCUCUCCUCUCUCCCCCCUCCCUCCAUCCCUUGAUCUGCUUCCCUUUUGCAAAAAAAUCUAUCUCCCCAUUUCCUAUUAUCUGUCUUUUAUCUUGCUCUUUAAUUUAUUUCGACUUAGGUUUCUCAUAUAAGAGAAGCUAUGUGAUAUUUGAGCUCGUGCAUGUGAUUUCUGUCAAUUAACAUUAUGGUCUCAAGGUGCAUCCGCUCCCCACCUUCACUUUUAUAUUGCUCUUUUCAAGUUCAGUCUGAAAACGUGUUCUAUAUGCAUGACCACAAAAUGCAUGUAUGAUUUAGAUGAACACAUACCAUACUGGGGGUCAAUAAAAAAUAAAAAGAACCAAAAAUAAAAAAUAAAAAGAACCUUCAAGUAGUGACUGGCUCUUUAAAAAGUAAUAAUUUAGUAAAUCAAGAAGCCUGACAAUUAAUUUAAAGAUGUAGUGACCAUCGUGCAUAACAAAAGCUAUAUGAUAUAAUGGAAAUAAGGCUUUAGACCCAGACCCAGGUUAAAAGUAUGUGACCUUAGAAGGUCCCCAACUUGGGCAGACUAUAAGUGUUGUGCCUUGGUGGUCUCAUCUGUAAAGGUAAGUUGAACAAUAUUUUACCAGGGUGAUUUGUGAGGAUUACGGGUAAUAAUAAUUUAUGUAACCUACAACAGAGGGUCUGGCAUUCACUGCGGAGCUAUUAUGAGAAAAUGCAAAAUAUAGAUGGUGUGCAUAGAAAAGGCCAGGAUGUUCAAGGUUCGAGGUUUUUGGAGUUUUCGCUGAUCCUGCCAAGCAGGCAAGACCAGGAGAAACUCUAGCCAUCAGCUCGGGCUCAGACCGGGUUAUUUUACUGUGUGUUUUAUCCGAGUGCGGGCAGACCGGAAACAGUGUGGUGCCCAACAAGCCUGUUGCUGCCACCCUCAGUCUGCUGAGAGCCUCCAAAGCUAGAGGUGGGACUGCCCCAGAGGCGGUCCUUAAUGCCCCGCCUCUUCUCCUGGGGGAACUUGUGGUCGCGUCUGUGGGCCUGGAAGAAAAGGGAAGGGGAAGGGGGAUGGGAAGGGUCACUGUUUCCUCCUUUACAAUCUGGCACAGUCAAUUUGACUUCCUUCUUUGAUUUUCCCAGAACAUCUAGGAUGAGACACAAAUUCAAAUAAUAUUCAAACUGAGGGAAAUGAGCUGCAGAGACAAGCUCAGCGAGUAUAUACAACACCAUCAGGGGGCUCAUACAGUAUGACUUACCUGUAGCCAUCAUCUCUUAUUUCCUAAAUGCCAAUCUCCUGCCAGUUUCUGUGAGUACCAGGGAAACCAGGUUGUGAUCUUAUUCUGGAGCCCUCAAGCUAAAAGCAGAGGGAGUCAUGCUAAUAUGUGCACUAUAAUGCAGUAAGUAUCUGAAAAAGAAAGGAAGAAAGAAAAGCAAAACUCUGCAGGAGCCCGCAGCCCCAGCAUACCUCCUAGCAUAAGGCUAUUUCUACUUGUCCCUCGGGACCACCUAAGCCACCUCUUCUCCCUACCCAGACAAUGCUGAGGAGACGAGGGUGUUUCCUCCAUUUCCUACCAUGGUUCUGCACCCAGCUCUCCUCUCCCUGCCAGAGGAUCUGCCCUUCUUUUGUGACUCCCAACAACAACCCUUGACACCAUCCAGCAAGAGCUGAAACAGGGCCCUUUGGUCUCCAGGCCCCUGACACUGCAAGGAGAAGAGAAAGAACAACUUUUAUUAUUUUACUCCAAUUCUUGCCAAAGCUGAUGUGGGGCCUUUGGGCUUUUCUAACUUGCAUGAAAAACUGAAAAACUGGCAAUGGGUGUGUCCCUUGGACUGCACGAACAGUGCCAUAAAAAAAAGUGUUCCUGAUUCAUCAAGGGCAAGAAUAGGUUUUGGUAGCUUGUCAAACCGGGGAGAAGAAGGAACAGUGUUGUCAGUGACCCUUUCUCACCUCCACAGUCUUGCUAGAGGAGACGGAGAUGGAGAUGGAGAUGACGGCCCAGAUGCGUUUAGUCCAGAGUUCUCGGGUUCACCUCCAUUCUCCCUGUGGACAAGGAGGGACGGACGGUGACAUCCGUUCCCAAGCGCUCCAGGAGAGGCUCCUGUACAGUGUGCGGGUCCAGGCUUGGCCGUGUGUCUCUUGGCUUGGCCUCGUGUGGCUGUAGUGUCCAGCACAGAGUGGGUUUCUGGGAGUGGGUGCUUGCCUUUUUUUAGGACAAGCUGUAACAGAGAAACAGUAGGAGCCUGGCUUCAUGGCCCCAAUGGCAGGAAGCCUCCAUUUUCUCUACUCACACAGACACUUCUGACACCAAAUACAUGGGGGAAACAAUACAGCCUCCAACUCUCGGGACAUUGACUGCGAGUCCUGCGGCUCAAUGCAGACACUGCCUGCCUGCGAGGGCUCAGUCCCAUGAGACUGUGCGCCACUUCAGGCCUCAGUUGGGAGCCCCUGGUGACCCACUCUUCUGUUCUUGGCUACAAAGCAGGGCCCACGAGCUUCUCCUUUGGUUCAAUAAUUCGCUGUGAUGGAACCCAGGGAAAGAAAGCUUGUUAUCUUGGCUUGGCCUCUCCGGUGACAGUACCCAUCCUGAAACUAUCCAUCAAGAAUGGCCUCAUUAGAACAAAGGAUGCUCUUAUCACCCAGGAAAUCACAAGGCUUUUAGAAACUAUGUGUCAGGAACUGGGGUCAAAGACCAAAUAUUAGGACAGAACAUACUCCUGGCAUCCGUAUCAGUCAGGAAACUGAGGGUUUUAGGAGCUCUGGGCCAGGAACGAGGGGCAGAGACCAAGGAUGUGUUUCUGAGUGUGUCACACCACUCACACCACCGAUGACCUUGGAGGAUCCCUGGAAUACAACUGGUGGGAAAAAUACAUUUCAAAUACUUCCAAAGGAUGAUCGUUCACUCCCAGAGCUAACUGCAGAAUUUAAACAACACCGGCACAAGAAAACCAGUGGAUUUUCUUUCUUGUGUUACCUCUGUACUUAAGUUGUAGCAAACCCUUGGUUUUAUUUUCUUUGAAAUUAUACAGGGACGCAGGAACAAGCAGCUUACAGACAAUAAAGAAACCACUUCAUGUGUAAUUACAGCUCACAAACACACAACUUCCAGAUGGCUGGAGUGCACAGCAGGACUGAAGGCUGCCAGGUGCACCGACAGGCAUGUGGGUCCAGCCCCAAAGCAUCCUUGGGUGGUGUUCGUGCUCCUUCCAGUCAUUCGCAGCAGAGUGGGCGGAUGUGGCCAGAUUCCCUCAGAAACACCUCUAUCUUGCCUGCCACAAGGAGUAAGACAGAGCCAGGGUCCAUUUCUACCCCUGCUGUGGUUUAAACAUGGUUUGUUUCUCCUCUCUGAAAUGCAGGUUGGGAUUUAACCCCCACUGUGAGGAAUUAGAGAGUAGAAACCUAAUCUGACCUUGGUCAGAGGUGGGCUUUGGAAGGUGAUUAGGGUUGGGUAAGGUCAUCAUGCAUAAAGAUGCUGGUGGCUUUCUAAGAAGAGGGAGGGAGGGCGAGGAGACACAGCACACGCCCUGUCUCUCAGGGCCCCGUGAUGCCCUGAGCACCCUCGAGACAGGCAGCAAGAAAGCCACCACCGGAGACAGUGACCUUGGAGUAGGAACAUGAGCUAAAAUAAACUUCUUUAUAAUUUACCCAGUCUGUGUCAUUAUGGUUUGUUGGGGUUUUUUUGGUACCAGGGAUUGAACUUGGGACCUUGCGCUUGUGAGGCAGGCAGUGAAACCACUGAGCUAAAUCCCCAGCCCUAUGGCAUUUUGUUAUUAGCAGCAGAAAAGGGACAAAGACAGCCCCUGUUAUCACCGGUUCAGGGUAUCAAGCUCAUUCCUCUACUUCUCCGGGCUUCAGUUUUGUCAUCUGUGAAAUGGAAAUGAUGUUAUCUCCUGAGGAGCAUUAUUAGGAGAAUUCACUGCAGACAUCUAAAAAAAAUGCUUAGAACAUGGUAAGUACUCAAAAAGUCUGGCUACUGUAAUAAUUCUAAGGAGCUAUUGAGAAACAGGGGCAAAGAUUUAUGCACAAAAUUAUUCAUUCCAGCAUUGUUUAAAAUAAAGCUUAAAAAAAACCCCAAAAAUGUGGAACAUGGAAAAAUAAGUAAAUUACAUUUCACUCAAACAAUGGGAUAUUGUGCUUCCAUUAAAAAAAAUCUUUACCAAGCUUUUUUAAUAAUGUGAAAAACAUUUUUGAAACAAUGCUAACCAAACAAACCAGAAUAGAAACUAGGUUGCUUAUAAUAUCUCAAGUUUGCAAAAAGAAAGGAACUGUUUUAAAUACUAAUAUGUGUCUAUAUCCUUUAGACAUAAUGCACAACAAAUCACUGGCUAAUAUUGCCCUGGCAUGUGCAUAAAGGAUUGAAGAGAGAGUCUGAAGGAAUACAUUUGCUCAUUCGACAUUCAUUGAACUCCUGCUGUACAUUGUACUCUGCUGGGCAAGAAGGGUAGAUUGUCUCUGCUGCUCUGGUCCCUGGGGCAAGAAGUGUGGCCCUGGGCAGAGGGUCACCCUGAUAAUUUACAGAGACUGGGCCCUCUAGGCUUCCAUGUCAAAUGUAUAAUAAAGGAAGGCUUGACGAAGCUUUUGUGAAUGGGCCAGACCUGACAGCUGCCGGGCGGGACCUCCUUCUGCAUGGGAGUAGGCAGUUACUGGAAAAGGAUAUGUGGACCAGAGCCAAACACUAAGACUGCAGGCACUCUCUUGACUUCUCCACAUAGUUUCCCCACUUGCAAAAUGGAGAAGGCUUGCAGGUGAUUACUGCAAUGAUUAAAGAAGGUAAAAAGUGUCAAUAAUACUGACUUCCCUCCAAGCCCCCCAAGGACAGAGCAGAAAACACUAACAGCCAGUGGGAUCUCUCCGUGAAGAUUGAGGCAGGACACUUCCAGGCCUUCUUUUUAGCUGACAAGUGAAUGAGCUGUGGGAAUUUGGCAUGUGAUGAAACUGACUUCUCCAUUCAGUACAGAAACCGUGGAUUCUUCACUCAAAGGUGUUGGGACAACUCGCUGCCAGCGGAGGGAGGGGAAUCCCUAACAGUUUACAUCAAAUGAAACUCCCAAUGGCAAAAAGAUAUAAAUGCAGAGAACAAAACCAUGAAAGCCCUUUGGGAAAGUGCUACAGAAAGAACCUUCACAAAAGAACUCUGCAAAGUUUGUUUUGUUCAACCCUUGAACACCAUGACCUGAAAGAGUGCUCGGGCCAGAGUCAG